rnacentral:lncRNA from 1 species
GUCAGUAAUGUGGGGGUGGGGAGUGGGGGGAGGAACCAUGUAUUGAAUAAUGCUGUCAUUUACAUCAGGAGUCUUAGCACCUGAAUGCAUGACUGAGAAGCCAUCCUCAUGUGCUGAACACAGGACCACAUUGGAAGAAGGAUGAUCAGACUGUCUCUGUCCUGCCUUUAGAGGAGAACAGCCGAUACAACAGCUCUUAGGAGUGAGCGUCAUCUAAUCUGUGGAAUGUCUGAAGAGACCAAAAGACUGCGGAAGCAACGUUUCUUUCAUCACUGCUCUUCAUUUCCUAUCUCCCUCCCUGCUAUAGAUUGCUGUUGAUUCAAACCAACAAUGUCUAAGUAGGUUGCCCCACAUGGAUUCCCCAUGAGGAUGAUGCACCAGGAAGAACUCUUCAUCUCCCGGAUGCCUGGGUACGCAUGCCUUGGAGUGAAAGACCUCGAGCCACUUGACAGCUUGGCCAUGAACUUCUUAGACAGUAACUAUGCAAGCGCUUCCAGAAAUCAUCAGAGGUCCACGAGCCUGAAGGGGAUGAGCCAGAAGGGAAGCAGUGUGAAGACUCAAGACCACAGAGCCUGGUGGGCCCCAUGGAUGCCGAUCUCCAUCUUAGGGGCAAUCUAGAGGCAUUGAAGAGUUUCAUCACUGGGGAGCCAAGAGGUUCUAUUUGCAUUUUAUAAAAAUUUGAGCUUCAGUGUAGAGACUAAAUUAGAACAAGGCCUAAGAGGAUACAGGAGCUCUUAGGAGGGAAUUGCGUAUAAGAGAAUGUAAAAUAGGGAGAAGCAGCGCAGAUACAGAGAAUAGGAACAGGUUCAAACUGAAAUGGUUCCAGGACUUAUAAGACAGACAUACACAGACCAAAACUCUCAUAUUUCGACGUAUUAAAAAAAAUAGUGUCAUCACAAAAUUGUAAUGACUCCAUGGCAUUUAUCAUAAAAUUAAGUAGUUCAAAUGAGGCUCACUGCAUAUUACUAUACAGGAGAAAACAAAGGACUGAAAUACAUAUGUAC